rnacentral:lncRNA from 1 species
GGGUGUAGUCUGAAGCCGUCUAACUUGAAAUCACAUAUGGUGCGAUCCUACGCGACGUGGGGUUUUAGAAGUGGUGUCUCCUGACACCUCUCUUUUAAGGUUGUGACGUCUGAUGGGGCUCACUACUUUCAAGGGGCGUCCAGGUUCUCUUCAUAUUCUGGUUCGAAGAAGGAUUGUACAUUAUUAAACUCCGGUACGUGGGCCAAUGACAAUC